rnacentral:rRNA from 1 species
UGGGGGAUAUUGCACAAUGGGCGAAAGCCUGAUGCAGCGACGCCGCGUGGGGGAUGAAGGCCUUCGGGUUGUAAACUUCUUUUGCUCUGAACAAGGCAUGCUAAUGGGUGUGUUGAGUGUAGGGGUUGAUUAGCGCCGGCUAACUACGAGCCAGCAGCCGCGGUAAUACGUAGGGCGCGAGCGUUGUCCGGAAUUAUUGGGCGUAAAGGGCUUGUAGGUGGCUGGUUGCGUCUGUCGUGAAAGCUCAUGGCUUAACUGUGGGUUUGCGGUGGGUACGGGCUGGCUUGAGUGCAGUAGGGGAGGCUGGAAUUCCUGGUGUAGCGGUGGAAUGCGCAGAUAUCAGGAGGAAUACCGGUGGCGAAGGCGGGUCUCUGGGCUGUUACUGACACUGAGGAGCGAAAGCAUGGGGAGCGAACAGG